GCUUAAAUGCCUAAUGAGUCUCGAGUGGUUUAUCAAUUAUGCUUCCUGCUAACCAGGACAAAACCAGAUUAGUUUGACAGGCGUCGUGCGUACAGAUUCACUUACGAAUCGGAGGCGUGCAGAUUAGUUUGACAGCAGGGUAGAUAAGAAGGACAAGAAGCCGGCCAAAACGUGGUUGUGAUCGCGUCAGUCCAAUAGGGAGCAUUGCAACCUGUUGUUGUAAGCUGUAAAAUUUAAUGGGGUGGUUAUCAAUUGCAGUGCUACAAUAUCUUUAUUUCUGGACUAUGAUGGAUA